rnacentral:rRNA from 1 species
AUUGAACGCUGGCGGCAGGCCUAACACAUGCAAGUCGCGCGAGAGGCGGACGGGUGAGGAAUGUCUGGGAAAAUGCCUGAUGGAGGGGGAUAACUACUGGAAACGGUAUCUAAUACCGCAUACCAUCAGAUGUGCCCAGAUGGGAGUAGCUCGUAGGUGGGGUAACGGCUCACAUAGGCGACGAUCCCUAGCUGGUCUUAGAGUAUGACCAGCCAUACUUGGACUGAGACACUGUCCUGACUCCUACGUGAGGCAGCAGUGGGGAAUAUUGCACAAGGGGCGCAAGCCUGAGGCAGCCAUGCCGCGUGUGUGAAGAAGGCCUUAGGGUUGUAAAGCACUUUCAGCGGGGAGGCGUUACCCGCAGAAUAAGCACCGGCUAACUCCGUGCCAGCCGCCGCAGUAAUAC